GAUGAACGCUGGCGGCGUGCUUAACACAUGCAAGUCGAACGGAAAGGCCCAAGCUUGCUUGGGUCCUCGAGUGGCGAACGGGUGAGUAACACGUGGGUGAUCUGCCCUGCACUUCGGGAUAAGCCUGGGAAACUGGGUCUAAUACCGGAUAGGACCACAUUUUGGAUGGUGUGGUGGAAAGUUUUUCGGUGUGGGAUGAGCUCGCGGCCUAUCAGCUUGUUGGUGGGGUAAUGGCCUACCAAGGCGUCGACGGGUAGCCGGCCUGCGAGGGUGUACGGCCACAUUGGGCCUGAGCUACGGCCCAGACUCCUACGGGAGGCAGCAGUGGGGAAUAUUGCACAAUGGGCGCAAGCCUGAUGCAGCGACGCCGCGUGGGGGAUGACGGCCUUCGGGUUGUAAACUCCUUUCGCUAGGGACGAAGCGUUUUUGUGACGGUACCUGGAGAAGAAGCACCGGCUAACUACGUG
rnacentral:rRNA from 1 species